rnacentral:rRNA from 1 species
GUCCACGCUGUAAACGUUGGGCGCUAGGUGUGGGGGACCUCUCCGGUUCUCUGUGCCGCAGCUAACGCAUUAAGCGCCCCGCCUGGGGGAGUACGGCCGCAAGGCUAAAAACUCAAAGGAAUUGACGGGGGGCCCCGCACAAGCGGCGGAGCAUGCGGAUUAAUUCGAUGCAACGCGAAGAACCUUACCUGGGUUUGACAUCACGUGAAAACUCGCAGAGAUGCGGGGGUCCUUCGGGGCGCGUGACAGGUGGUGCAUGGCUGUCGU